GCUGGCAUAGCUCAGUGGAUUGAGCGCGGGCUGCAAACCAAAGGGAAAAGCCCCUGGAAACAGUGUGGGUGGGCCCAAAAGCUGUGUGGGACAGAGCUUCAGAGAAUCACCACAGUGGGGCAAACAGUGUGAGCCAGGUUGAUGGAAUCUCAGACAUAGCGUCACAGUCUGGUUCUGCGCCUCUGUGGGGGUAGGGCUCAGAAAAAGGCACUUCUGUCUGGGAGAAAGCUGCCCCCUAGCUCUCACCCUGAUGCCAGACAAUUGAGUUCCUCCCCCUAUGUCACUGCUGCCCUCACAAUGGAACUCUGAGGGAGUCUAAGUAAAUCACUGUGCUGGCCCUUUAAGAGAACUGCCAGGGAGUCCUGAAGUUUCUGUCUUCCACAGUCUCAAACCCCACUGGUCUUUAUAGCCAAAAGUUAUGGAAACUUCUCUUUCCUGGUACUGGAACCUUGGGUUGGAGGGGGUGUGGUGUGGGGCUGGAAGCCUUCAUUCAUAAGAUAUCCUUCCCAAUUUUUAUGUGCCACAUGUGGGUGUAUGACCAGCUUGUUCUGCAUCUCCACCCCUCCUACCAGUCCAGAAGUAGUUUCUUCUUCAAUUCUAUAGUUGUAGGACUUUCAUUCAGCUCGAUUUCUGACAAUUUUGAAUGAUGCUUGUUCCAUAGUUUAGCUGUAAUUUUUAUGUGGUUGUGCAAGGAGACAAGCUGUGUUUACCUAUACUGCCAUCUUUAUCUGCCUCCCAUUUUGGCUUUUGUAUCAUAUCAUUAGGGAUACAGCUUGAAAUAACAACAUGAAAUCUUAUUUUAAAUCUACUGUUCUUCCCCACAUUUUCUUUCACUGAAGAUAUCAUAAAGAACAACAAACAAACAAGAAUUAACUGGAA